AGAAUCAACGCUGGCGGCGUGCCUAACACAUGCAAGUCGAACGCGAAAGGGGCUUCGGCCCUGAGUAGAGUGGCAAACGGGUGAGUAACGCGUGGGUGACCUACCCUUGAGUGGGGGAUAACGUUCCGAAAGGAACGCUAAUACCGCAUGACGUCUCGAGGUUGAAGACCUUGGAAACCAAAGCUGGGGACCGCAAGGCCUGGCGCUUGGGGAGGGGCCCGCGUCCGAUUAGCUAGUUGGUGGGGUAAUGGCCUACCAAGGCUGCGAUC
rnacentral:rRNA from 1 species